AAGGGCGUAAGCUGAAGGCUCAAAGCCCACUUCAGCUUGUGCAUGGAAACCCCUGUGCUCAGCAGCACAACUCACCCAACCUAAUGACAGCUCUCCAGCACCCCUCCAGAUGUUCCUCAAAGAAGAAGCAGACUGGGAAAGAAGCUCCAGAACAUCUCAGCUUGUUAAUGUCAAGCUGGAAGACAACCCAGGAAUACCCAAACCCAACCCUGGGCUGAGUUGUUAUGAGCAAAGACAGAAAUGAAUGCUCAGUAGCAGAAAGUUCAACGAAAAUAUUUUUAUCAUCUUUAAUUCUUAUUUACAGACCUCACCAAACAAACAACGUAUGUUUUUCUCCACCCAGGCUGCCAGAUGAUGACUUUGAUGCAGGGAAGAACACCCCUUCAGGCAGUCUUUUAUUUCCCUUUUCUUAAAGCAGAUUUGCAAGAAGCAACAUGAUAAAAAAAAAA